rnacentral:rRNA from 1 species
UUAGUUACCAGCACGUUAUGGUGGGCACUCUAAGGAGACUGCCGGUGACAAACCGGAGGAAGGUGGGGAUGACGUCAAGUCAUCAUGGCCCUUACGGCCUGGGCUACACACGUGCUACAAUGGUCGGUACAAAGGGUUGCCAAGCCGCGAGGUGGAGCUAAUCCCAUAAAACCGAUCGUAGUCCGGAUCGCAGUCUGCAACUCGACUGCGUGAAGUCGGAAUCGCUAGUAAUCGUGAAUCAGAAUGUCACGGUGAAUACGUUCCCGGGCCUU